rnacentral:rRNA from 1 species
GACGAACGCUGGCGGCGUGCUUAACACAUGCAAGUCGAACGAUGAUGCCCAGCUUGCUGGGUGGAUUAGUGGCGAACGGGUGAGUAACACGUGAGUAACCUGCCCCUGACUCUGGGAUAAGCGUUGGAAACGACGUCUAAUACUGGAUACGACUGCCGGCCGCAUGGUCUGGUGGUGGAAAGAUUUUUUGGUUGGGGAUGGACUCGCGGCCUAUCAGCUUGUUGGUGAGGUAAUGGCUCACCAAGGCGACGACGGGUAGCCGGCCUGAGAGGGUGACCGGCCACACUGGGACUGAGACACGGCCCAGACUCCUACGGGAGGCAGCAGUGGGGAAUAUUGCACAAUGGGCGAAAGCCUGAUGCAGCAACGCCGCGUGAGGGAUGACGGCCUUCGGGUUGUAAACCUCUUUUAGUAGGGAAGAAGCGAAAGUGACGGUACCUGCAGAAAA